GAUGAACGCUGGCGGCGUGCUUAACACAUGCAAGUCGAACGAAGCACUUAAGAUUGAUUCUUCGGAUGACGUCUUUUGUGACUUAGUGGCGGACGGGUGAGUGACGCGUGGGUAACCUGCCUCACACAGGGGGAUAACAGUUAGAAAUGACUGCUAAUACCGCAUAACCCGAUAGGAUCGCAUGAUCCAGACGGAAAAGAUUUAUCGGUGUGAGAUGGACCCGCGUCUGAUUAGCUAGUUGGUGAGGUAACGGCCCACCAAGGCGACGAUCAGUAGCCGGCCUGAGAGGGUGAACGGCCACAUUGGGACUGAGACACGGCCCAAACUCCUACGGGAGGCAGCAGUGGGGAAUAUUGCACAAUGGGGGAAACCCUGAUGCAGCGACGCCGCGUGAGUGAAGAAGUAUUUCGGUAUGUAAAGCUCUAUCAGCAGGGAAGAAAAUGACGGUACCUGACUAAGAAGCCCCGGCUAACUACGUG
rnacentral:rRNA from 1 species